GUGCUCACUUCAGCAGCACAUAUAUUAAAAUUGGAACGAUGCAGAGAAGAUUAGCGUGGCCCCUGCACAAGGAUGACACAUAAAUUUACAAAGCAUCCCAUAUUAAA